CGUCAACCUUUCCGCCCCACGCUGCAGUGAGCGAGCACGCAUGAACGUUCUGGAACGUUCGUGUUGGAGAUGCGCGAGGAGCAGAAGUAUGUUUAUCGUUGAUGUGUGAGUCAAGAUGUCUCUGUGGCGCCUAUGCAGAGAGCUGGAGCGGGUCUCGCUCACCCAGUUUGUUCUGGAUGGCCGCCAGGAUGCUGUCCGAGUCGCAGAGCAUGCACGGCGUGGUGGUGCAGAUCUGGAUGUGGUACUUUCCAACCGGCUGACGGAGGAACAUGGUGUAGAAAGUUGCAACUUCAUACACCCUCAUAGGAGCGAUGCCCAGGACCUCUGCCACCUGUAGGAGAAACCAAACAUUACAGCCAUUUGUCAGGAAAAGAAUUUAGCAAAAGAAUGCAGCUUUAAACCUUAAAAUCAUGAAUAUUUUAAUAAAAGAAAAAAAAUUGUGAGUCACUGCCAGCACCGAUAUUAUUUGUUUAAUUAUUUAUAAUAUAAAUAAUUAUUAUUAUAAAUGUUUAUAUUGUGUAUUUUGUGUGUGCACCCCUGGAGGGCUAGCAAACAUAAUGAGGAAGCUUAUGGGAAUCUGCAUAAAACUGUCUACAUACAUGUACUGUCUGUGUUAGUUUACUUUUAUUAUAGUUGACUAUCCACAUACAAAUGUUCCACAGACGAAUGAACAUUGCUGAACAUAAACUGUAUAUCUGAAACAACAAAAUUAUUUGGAAUAUAAAAUGGCGAUAUCUAUAGACUGUCAGACACUUUACAGUAUGAAAAGGACAUGCUUGCAUUUUGAACAUUGUGUGUGUCUCUGCGGCUGGAUGAAUAAACAUACAGAUGUAGCACAAAAAAAAAAGAUGCAUUCGAAACCACACUACAAAUAAUAUCUCUAAUCGCUCCCUUGAAAUUAUUUCCACAUUUUGUUACAACAUAGAACACUGAUUUAUUUAACAAAGACUUUUUGUGACACAGUACAAAGUAUUCUAUAAUGUCAAAAUAAACAAUCAAGAGAAAUAAAAUCAUAUAAAUCUA